AACCCGACUCCAUGAAGCUGGAUUCGCUAGUAAUCGCGCAUCAGCCACGGCGCGGUGAAUACGUUCCCGGGCCUUGUACACACCGCCCGUCAAGCCAUGGGAGCCGGGGGUGCCUGAAGGCCGUGACCGCGAGGAGCGGCCUAGGGUAAAACUGGUGACUGGGGCGAAGUCGUAACAAGGUACC
rnacentral:rRNA from 1 species